CCUACGGGGGACAGCAGUGAGGAAUAUUGGUCAAUGGGCGGAAGCCUGAACCAGCCAAGUCGCGUGAGGGAUUAAGGCCCUGCGGGUCGUAAACCUCUUUUGCCGGGGAGCAGAGGUCCGGACGUGUCCGGGCCGGGAGAGUACCCGGAGAAAAAGCAUCGGCUAACUCCGUGCCAGCAGCCGCGGUAAUACGGAGGAUGCGAGCGUUAUCCGGAUUUAUUGGGUUUAAAGGGUGCGUAGGCGGGCAUUUAAGCCGGCGGUCAAAUGUCGGGGCUCAACCCCGGCCUGCCGUCGGAACUGGGUGCCUUGAGUGGGCGAGAAGUAGGCGGAAUGCGUGGUGUAGCGGUGAAAUGCAUAGAUAUCACGCAGAACCCCGAUUGCGAAGGCAGCAUACCGGCGCCCUACUGACGCUGAGGCACGAAAGUGCGGGUAUCGAACAGGAUUAGAUACACCAGGAGUC
rnacentral:rRNA from 1 species